GGGCACGCGGACGGACCGGGACCGCCGCCCUUACAAGGCGGAGGUCGACCGUUCGAGCCGGUCAGCGCCCA
rnacentral:tRNA from 1 species